rnacentral:pre_miRNA from 1 species
GAUAAACUCAGUUUUCGUUUUUAUGUAUUCAAUCAUUCGUCUUAUUUGAAAUUUUGUUACGAUCAAUAUUUUUCUUGUUACUAGAUAAUAAAAUAUAAAUAAUACUUUAUAUGUGACUAAUUUUUUUUAAAUUUUUUCUAAAUUUUUUAAAUAAGACGAAUGGUCAAAGGACGAAAAAAC